rnacentral:lncRNA from 1 species
GACAUUAAACAGAUAAUUAGAAGAUAUGUAUAUAAUUAUAAAGGUUAGCAAGAAGAGAGGGUUUUAAAGAAAGAAUAACAGAGGAGAUCUAUUUUACACAGGUAGUCAAGGAAGGUCUUUUUGAGGAAGUAAUAUUUAAACUGGGACUUGAAGAAUGAUAAGAGGUGAAUAGUGGUGGGAAAAGAAUUAUAGAAAGAGGACAUGGAAUAUAUGAAUAUCCUGACAUUGGAAAGAGCUUGGCAUUUUCAAGGAACUGAAAGGAAGGCCUACUUAUCAGAUGUUUUCCUUUUGGCCCGCAGAUCCUGUCCUGCCCGUCCCUGCUCCUGGUAGGCUGGUGUGAUUGGGGCCUGACUCAACCUGCAGGAGUGAGGUGGCUUUGCUAUGUUUGGCCAAUAGAAAGGACUGGUAGGAGAUCAGAAGGAAGAAGAAACCAGGGGAGUUUGAUCAUGUCUGCUGAGGGAACAUACACAGGAUGAGUGGCCUGACACCACACACACUAGACCUGGAAUGAUAUUUAUCCAUAGACGCUUACAGAGGCAGGAAGAGGAGCUGGUGGACAGUUCCUCCUUUGCCUAUCAUUCUCUGGGAUAGCGCAAAAUGAUCUAGCAGAGUGUUCAGUCCAAGCUCUGUGGGUUAAUAAGCUGCAUGUUUAGGGAAGUGCCAGCAAGUCCUCUGGUAUGAUGAGGACCUGGGUCCCAGCCUUGUUGGACUUCCCUUCUUCUGCCAUCUCAGCAUUCCCGGUCUGGGCUUCCUCCCAGUCACAGAGCCUCCCUGCUAUGAACAGGCGCUCAGACACAGGUCUUGCAGUUUGAGGUGUAUGAUACAUGGGACCUUGGCCUUCAGCCUUGUUCCUCCACCUCAGUGUUCUCCCAGGAUGUUUGCCAAAUAUUCCCACCCUGCAGGAAGCCAACUCUCACUCUGGGAGGACUGCCAGGGGUUAGUGUCAGAUAAAUUAACCUUUACUUCUCACUGCAGUGUAAACUUAAAGACCUAUGAGGACCAGCUGAAAUUGAGAGUAUCUUGUCAAAAUGUGUUUGGCUAUGUCUUUGCCAACACAUUUGUCUUGGCCUAUUGUAUUUGUAUCGUUAGCCCAUUGAACAAAAAUAUCAAUCAAAAAUCUUCAUUUCAUAGUUCAGAGUCAUUCUCUCAAACCCAUCUUCUGUAUUAAUUCUUGGUAAUAUCUUUAUAUUCAAAUAUGAUUUUUCCAAUAGCCUUAUCUUUCAGUCACUUUAAAUUCCAUUCCUUCAAGGAUUUUGUCCCUUAUCCUCCUUCAGCCACCCAUUCCUAUCACCACAUUGUAAUCUUAUUUCUUAGGAUCAAUAAUUGCUACUCCUUCAUUAUCUCCAUUUCACUCUCUCAUCUAUUGUCUUUUCCCUGUAAUGUUCAACUUCAAUAAGACUUUGACCUUAUCUGGACUUCUAGUCUAUUGAUCAUAGUACCUUUCCCUUUUCCCUCACCUGCCUUUCAGUUCUCUUCUUUUCCAGUUUAAAAUCUGUGACAAACACUAUCCUCAUUUCUGCGUAUGGACUCUUGAUUCCUUUGCCUUUCUUUCACUUUGUAUUAACUUGGCAAAAAACAACCCUGUUUAAAUCUAACUCUCCGCCUCCUCUGCACAGCAUCUGGCUGAAAGAAAACACAGUUCUCACCGAUGAGUCCCACUUUAAAUUUGUGACUAUAAAUAACAAAUGGCCUGACUGCUGCCUGGCAAUCUCGCUGUACUUCUCUGGUCCAUUUACCGUUCGAUUUUCCUAAACAAAUAUUUUCCACCUUCUCCUCUCUCCUCAAACCCUCAGCAAAACUUUUUCUCCUUCCUUGUUCUCAGAUAAUUUCCUUCCUUCCUUCCUUCCUUCCUUCCUUCCUUCUUCUUCCUUAAGAAAAUUGAAGCACUCAGAAGAGCAGUUCUUCAGACCUUCACUACACCUGUCCCCCACAGCAGCAUCUGCAGCUGUAUACACUGCUUUCCUGCCUCUUACUAGAGAUGACAAUCCAUGCACCUAAGGCCCAUACCUCCACGUACGUAUUGAAUCCAGUCCUUUUUACACAUAUGCAAAGACAUCACUCAACAAUUUUUUUUUUUUUUUUU